AUAGGGUUAGAAAUUAAUACUCUCGCAAUUCUACCCCUUAUAUGCCAGUCUCAUCAUCCUCGGGCCGUUGAAGCCACAAUUAAAUAUUUUCUCACUCAAGCUACCGCUGCUGCCAUACUACUUUUUGCCAGCAUUACCAACGCUUGAAUUACGGGACAAUGAAAUUUAGAAUUCAUAAGCUACUCCCUCCCUACUACUCUGGUCACUGUGGCCUUAGCCCUAAAAAUUGGCUUAGCACCCCUCCACGCUUGGAUACCAGAGGUUCUUCAAGGCCUUGAUUUAACCACAGGUUUAAUCCUCUCAACAUGACAAAAAUUGGCACCUUUCUGCCUUCUUUUACAAAUCAAUCCUUCAAAUACCUCACUUCUCUUAAUUUUAGGCUUAGCCUCAACCCUUGUUGGGGGCUGAGGCGGGUUAAAUCAAAAUCAAUUACGGAAAAUCCUAGCCUAUUCAUCCAUCGCCCACUUGGGCUGAAUAAUUUUAGUAUUACAAUUCUUCCCAUCCCUAACCUUACUGACUCUUUUAAUAUACUUUGUAAUAACCUUUUCCCUAUUUAUUUCAUUUAAAGUUAAUAAUUCUACUACUAUUAAUUCCUUAUCAAUGUCAUGAUCAAAAGCCCCUAUCAUCUCUUCUAUAGUACCUUUUAUCUUGUUAUCCUUGGGCGGACUCCCACCUCUAUCAGGAUUUAUACCUAAAUGACUUAUUUUACAAGAGUUAACUAAACAAAGUUUAGCUCCCUUAGCAACCCUAGCUGCACUUUCAGCAUUACUAAGCUUAUAUUUUUAUCUUCGGAUUUCCUACGCGAUAACCCUAACUAUAUCACCUAAUAUCCUUUUAAACGCCCUCCCAUGACGGCUGCCCUCUAAUCAACAUACCCUCCCCCUAGCAAUUACUACCUCGUUAACAAUUUGCCUCCUCCCUCUUACCCCGGCUAUUAUUGCCCUUCUUACCCUCUAGAGGCUUAGGAUAGCACUCAGACCAAGAGCCUUCAAAGCCCUAAGCGGGAGUGAAAAUCUCCCAGCCUCUGCCUAAGACUUACGGGACAUUAACCCACAUCUUCUGCGUGCAAAGCAGACACUUUAAUUAAGCUAAAGCCUUUUCUAGACAGGCAGGCCUCGAUCCUACAAAAUCUUAGUUAACAGCUAAGCGCCCAAACCAGCGAGCAUCUAUCUAGCUUUCCUCCGCCUAGCCAAGCAUAAUAGGCGGAGGAAAGCCCCGGCAGGAUUCAACCUGCUUCUCUAGAUUUGCAAUCUAGCGUGAAACACCUCAGAGCUUUGAUAAGAAGAGGACUUAAACCUCUGUUUAUGGAGCUACAAUCCACCGCUUAAAUCUCAGCCACCUUACCUGUGAUAAUCACACGUUGAUUUUUCUCAACUAACCACAAAGAUAUCGGUACCCUUUAUUUAGUAUUUGGUGCCUGAGCCGGUAUAGUAGGUACAGCUCUUAGCCUUCUUAUUCGGGCGGAACUAAGCCAACCAGGCUCUCUCCUAGGGGAUGACCAAAUUUAUAAUGUAAUCGUUACAGCACAUGCAUUUGUAAUAAUCUUUUUUAUAGUUAUGCCUAUUAUAAUUGGUGGCUUUGGAAAUUGACUAGUCCCUCUUAUGAUCGGUGCCCCAGACAUAGCUUUUCCUCGAAUAAAUAAUAUAAGCUUCUGACUACUCCCACCCUCAUUUUUACUUCUCUUAGCCUCUUCCGGCGUUGAAGCCGGGGCUGGUACAGGUUGAACAGUCUAUCCUCCUCUAGCAGGUAAUUUAGCUCAUGCUGGGGCUUCUGUAGAUUUAACUAUUUUUUCCCUUCACUUAGCUGGAAUUUCAUCAAUUUUAGGUGCUAUUAAUUUUAUUACAACUAUUAUUAAUAUAAAACCUCCAGCUAUCUCCCAAUACCAAACCCCCCUGUUCGUCUGAGCUGUCUUAAUUACUGCUGUACUUCUUCUACUUUCCUUACCAGUUCUUGCUGCAGGAAUUACAAUACUGUUAACUGACCGAAAUUUAAAUACUACAUUUUUUGAUCCGGCAGGUGGAGGAGAUCCAAUUCUAUACCAACAUUUAUUCUGAUUCUUUGGUCACCCAGAAGUUUAUAUUCUUAUUUUACCAGGCUUUGGUAUAAUUUCACAUAUUGUAGCAUACUAUUCUGGUAAAAAAGAACCGUUUGGAUAUAUGGGUAUAGUAUGAGCAAUAAUAGCAAUUGGUCUUCUCGGCUUUAUUGUUUGAGCCCAUCACAUAUUUACAGUCGGAAUAGACGUAGACACUCGAGCUUACUUUACAUCUGCUACUAUAAUUAUUGCUAUUCCAACAGGAGUAAAAGUGUUUAGCUGAUUAGCUACUCUCCAUGGAGGAUCUAUUAAAUGAGAAACUCCUUUACUCUGAGCAUUAGGAUUCAUUUUCCUAUUUACAGUAGGGGGGCUUACAGGAAUUGUUUUAGCUAAUUCAUCCUUAGAUAUUGUGCUCCACGAUACUUAUUAUGUAGUUGCUCACUUCCAUUAUGUCUUAUCCAUGGGAGCCGUAUUUGCAAUUAUCGCUGCCUUUGUUCAUUGAUUCCCUCUGUUCUCAGGUUAUACCCUUCAUAGCACAUGAACUAAAAUUCAUUUUGGUAUUAUGUUUGUAGGCGUUAAUUUAACCUUUUUCCCACAACAUUUCCUUGGAUUGGCAGGUAUACCUCGACGAUAUUCUGAUUAUCCAGAUGCCUAUACCCUUUGAAAUACAGUGUCUUCUAUUGGGUCAUUAAUUUCCCUUGUAGCAGUAAUCAUGUUUUUAUUUAUUAUCUGAGAAGCAUUCGCUGCUAAACGUGAAGUACUAUCUGUUGAAAUAACAGCAACUAAUGUUGAAUGACUUCAUGGCUGCCCUCCUCCCUACCACACAUUUGAAGAGCCUGCCUUUGUUCAAAUUCAACAUUAGUUUAACCCUCGAGAAAGGAAGGAAUUGAACCCCCAUAAAUUGGUUUCAAGCCAACCGCAUAACCAUUCUGCCACUUUCUUUAUAA